GACGAACGCUGGCGGCGUGCUUAACACAUGCAAGUCGAACGGAAAGGCCCUGCUUUUGUGGGGUGCUCGAGUGGCGAACGGGUGAGUAACACGCGAGUAACCUGCCCUUGACUUUGGGAUAACUUCAGGAAACUGGGGCUAAUACCGGAUAGGAGCUCCUGCUGCAUGGUGGGGGUUGGAAAGUUUCGGCGGUUGGGGAUGGACUCGCGGCUUAGCAGCUUGGUGGUGAGGUAGCGGCUUACCAGGGCUACGACGGGUAGCCGACCUGACCGGGUGACCGGCCACACUGGAACUGAGACACGGGACAGACUCAGACGGGAGGCAGCAGUGGGGAAUCGGCCGCAAUGGGCGAAAGCCUGACGGAGCAACGCCGCGUGAGUGAUGAAGGUCUUCGGAGAGUAAAACUCUGUGAUUAGGGAAGAACAAAUGUGUAAGUAACUAGGCACGUCUUGACGGUAAAUAAUCAGAAAGCCACGGCUAACUAAGUG
rnacentral:rRNA from 1 species